AACGAACGCUGGCGGCAUGCCUAACACAUGCAAGUCGAACGAGACCUUCGGGUCUAGUGGCGCACGGGUGCGUAACGCGUGGGAACCUGCCCUUAGGUUCGGAAUAACUCCCCGAAAGGGGUGCUAAUACCGGAUAAUGUCUUCGGUCCAAAGAUUUAUCGCCUUUGGAUGGGCCCGCGUUGGAUUAGCUUGUUGGUAGGGUAAAAGCCUACCAAGGCGACGAUCCAUAGCUGGUCUGAGAGGAUGAUCAGCCACACUGGGACUGGGACACGGCCCAGACUCCUACGGGAGGCAGCAGUGGGGAAUAUUGGACAAUGGGCGAAAGCCUGAUCCAGCAAUGCCGCGUGAGUGAUGAAGGCCUUAGGGUUGUAAAGCUCUUUUACCCGGGAUGAUAAUGACAGUACCGGGAGAAUAAGCUCCGGCUAACUCCGUG
rnacentral:rRNA from 1 species